GCAUCGGUGGUUCAGUGGUAGAAUUCUCGCCUGCCACGCGGGAGACCGGGGUUCGAUUCCCCGUCGAUGCA
rnacentral:tRNA from 1 species